rnacentral:lncRNA from 1 species
AAAUCAAAAUCCCCAUUUGAUCAAUUCAUCUAUCAAAAUAAAUAAAUUAAAAAGAUUACAUCACUCAUAACGUAGCCCUUCAACUUCAUAUAGUAUUUAAGUACUUUUGAUUUUAUCCUCAGCCUUGCAUAUUAUCACAGGAUGAAUAUUUUACGUAGCACACCCAUGCAACAAUUAGGCAGCUCUUACUCGAGUGUUAAUAAAUAAACCUUGAACUUUUCAACUAGCUAAGCUGAUAUGCUUACAGAACAGUUAGAGAGAAAAGUGAGCAAAUGAGCCAAAGAGAUUGUGUAUUAUUCACAAGAGAGUGUGUACAAGAGAGAUUUGAGAGAUUGUUUUGAAUUAUUCAUAAGUUUGAUUGCUUGUUGCUCUUAAAUGAAAUCGCAAGUGCUAAGCGCUAUUUAUAAGGAGACUUGCUUAGUUCUAAAACUUUAUAACUCUAGAGAGUUCUCACGGUUUUAAAAGAACUCUCAUUUCUACAAUAUCCUAGAGUAGUCUAGAGUAUUAUAUGUACAAGUUACAUGCUACAACACUCAAACAUUAUUUAGAGAUUUUCUAUAUGUGUACAAAUAAAAAAUAUGGUAGACAUGAAACUUUCUAAAUCAAACCAAGUUAACAUCCCUUGAUUUGAGUAUUUAGUCUCUUUGACUUGAAAUUAGGACAGCCCAUGACAAUAUAAUGGAGAAUGUUUAUCUAACAAUCACGAUAUUAUUGCCAGCCAAUUUUUUUUUUUUUUUUAUAUUAAUCACGAGGUAUCCUGGGGAGGGCCCAACUGUGGGAGGCACCUUUAAGCCCGUACCACAACCCAGACUAGAAGUCCCCGCUCGAACCGGGAGGCACAAGUUCUCCCAACCAUAGAUAUGUUACUCACAUUUUAUUUAACUAAAAGCACUAAUCAAGUCAUUUUUAUAAGAAAUUAGGAAAGGUUAGGAUUUUUGGUUGUUAAAAAAAAAAAAAAAAACCAACCAAAAUCUACCACCUAUUUCAUAUAAAACUCUAGUUGGUUACAACUCCCACCUUAUGUGUUUCCAAAUCUUCAACUAGUUAAUGUCAUGACGUAUUCAAAGAAUAAAAUUAUUAUAAUUUUAUUUGAAAUUGCCCCCUCACAAAGAGAUGUAGAAUUAUCAAAAUAUCAUUAAAAAUCUUAUCCUAUGCAGCGAUUGUAUCAAGUGUUUCCGUUGACUUAGACGCUGUAACGCAAAUUUAAAAUCUGAGGGAUGCUUGGUACUUAUUCAAAAGAAAAAAACUAUAUUGGGUUUUAUAAUUCAAAAAAAGGGCUCAUUUAAAAACACUAUAUAAAAAUCAAUUUAUCAUACGAUUCAGACCUAGUUUUGAACUGUUAUUUUAUCAUUUUCAAAGAAUAAUAGUGAAAUAUACUAUUUAAUGCCAUAAUAUCUUGAAAAAAAAAAUCACUUAAUUUCUCGAGUUUCAUUACAAAAUAAUUUUUAAUGUAAUGAUCUUAUGCUUAACCAACCUAAUCAAGUAGUUAUUGUCACGCACAUGAAUAAAAGUUCAGAAAUUUAUUGAAAAUAUAUUUUCCUUUUCUCCUCUGUAGUUAGUUAAAAUAUCUAAAAAGCAAUUCACGAAGCAUUUUUCCUUAUUUGCGUCUGAAAAGUUAUCACACUUUGAUUAGCAAUAGCAAGAUAUUUUACACUUAGUACCCAGAUGUUAAUCCACUUGGCCGAUCUUGUAGAGCACAAUAAGCUGAUAAUUAGUCUCUAAUUAUCUUAUAAUUUAAUACAUAUCAAGAUGUGAAUAACUGAUCUUUUUUUAGUGUAAAAUAAAGGGUUUGGUAACCACAACUUGAGAUUAACCAUGUAUAAUUAAGCAGAAGCUGCCAAAAAUAUUUCAAAUGCUGCCGUAAUUCCGCCGCUUUUUGUAAUGUCUUUGCAUGAUCACAUCAUAUUUAUCUAAAACAUUUUUUUUUUGGGUUAAAACAAAAAUUGAAAUGUUUAUUGGUCCAUUAAUAUGUUGCCACGUCACCAUCAAUAGUUCAUAAGAAUUUUAGACCAACAGGAUCAUGACACCUCAUCAGUCAAUGCCACAUCAUCGGUUAAUGCUACGUCAUCAAUCCGUCUAUGUGAACAGUAACAUAGACAGUACCGUACAUGUGAACAGUGUCAUUUUUCCUUUUAUGCUCCUCCUACGGUUUUCGACCGUCCUGAGUUCAAAAGUGAUGUCCGUUUUGCUGUCUGAUCUCUCGUUUAUUGUGAAAUGACUAUGAUGCCCCUAAAAUAUACAAAAUACUUAAUUAAAAUAAAACACACAUAAUUAAAUUACAAGCACCUUAAAUACAUAAAAGUAAGGGUUGUUAGUAAGACUUGAAAUGUAAAAUGACGAUUUUUUCUUUUAUAAAUAUACAUUUUCUAACGCUCAACAUUUAUGGCCUCAUCAUGAAUUUGAUUGGUGUCAGAACAUUAUUUAUUUGUAAUAACUUUUUACUUUAUGUGUUGCUUCUUAUCGACAAAUAAUAAGGUCUUUCUACUUUUUAAAUUGUGACAAUCUAUAUAUACAUAUAUCUACAAUUUAACAAAAAUUUUAUGUUUAAAUACAUAUAUAUUUUAUAGCGCAAAUCAAAAUUUUAUUGGGCGUUCUUAAUUUCCCAAAAAGCACUCUUUCUAUAACAGAAUUUUAUGGUAUUGUGUGAUCAUACCCACAUCAAUCGAAAGUGACAAUAUAAAAUAUAACUUAAAAGGUAAGACCGAUGGUUUAAUUAUUUAGUAAGAGACACAAUUCAGAUUUAAUGUUUGAUACGAUCACAUAAUAUUAUUUAAUUAUUCCACACGUUUAACACCAUUCAUCAAUUUAUUCAUGUAAUUUUGAAUAUCAUCCUUAUUGAUGUGGUACUGUUACCAAUUGGGUUAAAUCAUGAGUAAAUUUGUUGCGCUUUAACGGCAUUAAAUUAAGUUUAACAAAGUAAUAAUUGUUUCUAGAUAAUCACACCCAAUGCAUCAUUAUUUUGAAGCAAGUGCCAAUUAAUUAAUUCAAACAAUUAAGCUUGACCAUAAUCUAAUUGAUAGUAACUUUGUAAUGAUAAUUGGGUAGCCUAACUCUAUUAAACUGGUUGCACGCCUUUCGCGCGCUUUUCAACAAAUAAAAUCCCACCACGUGUAUUGCUCCUGUCAUGGCAUCAUGUCGGAACAGAGGAAGCAGGGCCCACAAGCGCCAUCGCAGCGCUUGGGUUUACAUUUGUCAACACAUCAAAAAGCGAAGUUCGGUACUACUUUUGAUCCCAUCCAGUUGGAACCCUCCACGUGGAGGAGUUUGGCUGCCUCACCGUCGGCAAAGGCGGCACUGUCUAUUUCAUUUUUCUAGGAUCUUACGUGGCGGAUAUCAACGUUGACUGCGUGAUCUAAUCUCAGCCGUCGGAUCAAGAAGGUUGCCUAGACGGUUGAAAUUCCUCAAAAUAGUCGAUCAUCGCCACGCGUCUUUGGUGAAUAUUGAAUUAUUUUCCUGAAAAGGAAAUAAGUCAUUUUGGCAUUUAAGUAAUUAAGAAACAUUCAAUUAUUAACAAACUACAUCAACAAGACAACAACAACUACAACUGACCCAAUUACAAUCUUCUCCCUCACCUUCACAUAAAAUCAUUUCUGUAUCUAUUUAAUUAAACUAAAAGUCUCAAUUUAAUUUAUAUUUAAAAACGUACAAACGUCCACAAUGAAAGUUGUAUACUAAUAUAAUUUAAAUUAUUUUUAUAAUCAUGUUACUAUUAUUAUUGUUUGUACUAAAAUAAAGUUUACAAAAGCAGGAAAAAUUAGUUAUUGUUCGAGGAUAAUGAUAAUUACAUGGGUGAGAUGUUCACUAAUAAUAGUUAGGUAAUGAGUAAUAGUCACUUAUUAAAUUAAAAAAGAAAAAAAAAUUCUUUCUGGAAAUAUGUAAUCUAAAGAAAAAUCGAAUUAUGAGCACGGAGGAUGUAAUUACACUUCAAAGAAAAGUAUAUUUA